AUGAAGGACGUUACUAACGACGAUAUGCUUUGGGGAGCUGUAAGUAAGCUUUGAUCCAGAGAUUUCCGAAUGGGGAAACCCAGCAUGAGUUAUGUCAUGUUAUCGAUAUGUGAAUACAUAGCAUAUCAGAAGGCACACCCGGAGAACUGAAACAUCUUAGUACCCGGAGGAAGAGAAAGAAAAUUCGAUUCCCUUAGUAGCGGCGAGCGAAACGGGAAGAGCCCAAACCAACAAGCUUGCUUGUUGGGGUUGUAGGACACUCUAUACGGAGUUACAAAGGACGACAUUAGACGAAUCAUCUGGAAAGAUGAAUCAAAGAAGGUAAUAAUCCUGUAGUCGAAAAUGUUGUCUCUCUUGAGUGGAUCCUGAGUACGACGGAGCACGUGAAAUUCCGUCGGAAUCUGGGAGGACCAUCUCCUAAGGCUAAAUACUCUCUAGUGACCGAUAGUGAACCAGUACCGUGAGGGAAAGGUGAAAAGCACCCCGGAAGGGGAGUGAAAUAGAACCUGAAACCGUGUGCUUACAAGUAGUCAGAGCCCGUUAAUGGGUGAUGGCGUGCCUUUUGUAGAAUGAACCGGCGAGUUACGAUUUGAUGCAAGGUUAAGCAGUAAAUGUGGAGCCGUAGCGAAAGCGAGUCUGAAUAGGGCGUUUAGUAUUUGGUCGUAGACCCGAAACCAGGUGAUCUACCCUUGGUCAGGUUGAAGUUCAGGUAACACUGAAUGGAGGACCGAACCGACUUACGUUGAAAAGUGAGCGGAUGAACUGAGGGUAGCGGAGAAAUUCCAAUCGAACCUGGAGAUAGCUGGUUCUCUCCGAAAUAGCUUUAGGGCUAGCCUCAAGUGAUGAUUAUUGGAGGUAGAGCACUGUUUGGACGAGGGGCCCCUCUCGGGUUACCGAAUUCAGACAAACUCCGAAUGCCAAUUAAUUUAACUUGGGAGUCAGAACAUGGGUGAUAAGGUCCGUGUUCGAAAGGGAAACAGCCCAGACCACCAGCUAAGGUCCCAAAAUAUAUGUUAAGUGGAAAAGGAUGUGGCGUUGCCCAGACAACUAGGAUGUUGGCUUAGAAGCAGCCAUCAUUUAAAGAGUGCGUAAUAGCUCACUAGUCGAGUGACACUGCGCCGAAAAUGUACCGGGGCUAAACAUAUUACCGAAGCUGUGGAUUGUCCUUUGGACAAUGGUAGGAGAGCGUUCUAAGGGCGUUGAAGCAUGAUCGUAAGGACAUGUGGAGCGCUUAGAAGUGAGAAUGCCGGUGUGAGUAGCGAAAGACGGGUGAGAAUCCCGUCCACCGAUUGACUAAGGUUUCCAGAGGAAGGCUCGUCCGCUCUGGGUUAGUCGGGUCCUAAGCUGAGGCCGACAGGCGUAGGCGAUGGAUAACAGGUUGAUAUUCCUGUACCACCUAUAAUCGUUUUAAUCGAUGGGGGGACGCAGUAGGAUAGGCGAAGCGUGCGAUUGGAUUGCACGUCUAAGCAGUAAGGCUGAGUAUUAGGCAAAUCCGGUACUCGUUAAGGCUGAGCUGUGAUGGGGAGAAGACAUUGAGUCUUCGAGUCGUUGAUUUCACACUGCCGAGAAAAGCCUCUAGAUAGAAAAUAGGUGCCCGUACCGCAAACCGACACAGGUAGUCAAGAUGAGAAUUCUAAGGUGAGCGAGCGAACUCUCGUUAAGGAACUCGGCAAAAUGACCCCGUAACUUCGGGAGAAGGGGUGCUCUUUAGGGUUAACGCCCAGAAGAGCCGCAGUGAAUAGGCCCAAGCGACUGUUUAUCAAAAACACAGGUCUCUGCUAAACCGUAAGGUGAUGUAUAGGGGCUGACGCCUGCCCGGUGCUGGAAGGUUAAGAGGAGUGGUUAGCUUCUGCGAAGCUACGAAUCGAAGCCCCAGUAAACGGCGGCCGUAACUAUAACGGUCCUAAGGUAGCGAAAUUCCUUGUCGGGUAAGUUCCGACCCGCACGAAAGGCGUAACGAUUUGGGCACUGUCUCAACGAGAGACUCGGUGAAAUCAUAGUACCUGUGAAGAUGCAGGUUACCCGCGACAGGACGGGAAGACCCCGUGGAGCUUUACUGUAGCCUGAUAUUGAAAUUCGGCACAGCUUGUACAGGAUAGGUAGGAGCCUUUGAAACGUGAGCGCUAGCUUACGUGGAGGCGCUGGUGGGAUACUACCCUAGCUGUGUUGGCUUUCUAACCCGCACCACUUAUCGUGGUGGGAGACAGUGUCAGGCGGGCAGUUUGACUGGGGCGGUCGCCUCCUAAAAGGUAACGGAGGCGCUCAAAGGUUCCCUCAGAAUGGUUGGAAAUCAUUCAUAGAGUGUAAAGGCAUAAGGGAGCUUGACUGCGAGACCUACAAGUCGAGCAGGGUCGAAAGACGGACUUAGUGAUCCGGUGGUUCCGCAUGGAAGGGCCAUCGCUCAACGGAUAAAAGCUACCCCGGGGAUAACAGGCUUAUCUCCCCCAAGAGUUCACAUCGACGGGGAGGUUUGGCACCUCGAUGUCGGCUCAUCGCAUCCUGGGGCUGUAGUCGGUCCCAAGGGUUGGGCUGUUCGCCCAUUAAAGCGGUACGCGAGCUGGGUUCAGAACGUCGUGAGACAGUUCGGUCCCUAUCCGUCGUGGGCGUAGGAAAUUUGAGAGGAGCUGUCCUUAGUACGAGAGGACCGGGAUGGACAUACCUCUGGUGUACCAGUUGUCGUGCCAACGGCAUAGCUGGGUAGCUAUGUGUGGACGGGAUAAGUGCUGAAAGCAUCUAAGCAUGAAGCCCCCCUCAAGAUGAGAUUUCCCAACUUCGGUUAUAAGAUCCCUCAAAGAUGAUGAGGUUAAUAGGUUCGAGGUGGAAGCAUGGUGACAUGUGGAGCUGACGAAUACUAAUCGAUCGAAGACUUAAUC
rnacentral:rRNA from 1 species